UACGGAGGGUGCGAGCGUUAAUCGGAAUUACUGGGCGUAAAGCGCACGUAGGCGGUUAUAUAAGUGGGAUGUGAAACCCCUGGGCUUAACCUGGGACUUGCAUACCAGACUGUGUGACUAGAGUAUGGUAGAGGGUGGUGGAAUUUCCGGUGUAGCGGUGAAAUGCGUAGAGAUCGGAAGGAACAUCAGUGGCGAAGGCGGCCACCUGGACCAAUACUGACGCUGAGGUGCGAAAGCGUGGGGAUCAAACAGGAUUAGAUACCCCCGUAGUCC
rnacentral:rRNA from 1 species